UGGGUUUGUGUUUGUUUAAAGUUUGAGAGCUUCAACAACAAACCACCUGAACAGGUUUUUUUAUGCAAUAUAAAAAAAUAACUCUUCUUUGUUGUUGAUAAUAUUAAUUUUGAUUAUUUUCUUUGAAUAUAUUAGCAAUAUCUAAGGUAUUGAACUCUAAGUGAAGAAGAUUAAAACACUCAAGUAAAUUACUUUAAAAUCGGUUUUGGUCAACGUACGUAGUUAGAUCUGUUGUUAAAUUUAAAGGCUGAAUUUAUUCAAGUCAAAGUGCUCUGUACUUUGCUCGCUGAUCUUGAACAAUUUCUCGUUUCGAUUUAACAUAUAUAUACUAACAUUUGUUUAAGACAUACAACAACAACACAAAUUCUUUUGACAGCUUAUGGAAGAUGAAGGUGCUUAAGUGACAUUACCUCCCAGAUGAAAACCCUAUGUAAUAGAAAAUGUUAAUUUCUAUCGUAUCUAACUUUUCUUAUUUCUGAGGAAGCAUCAUUUAUUUCUACUAAAGAAGCAACAGAGAAGAACUGAUUGGACAGACAUAGAUUCCUUGGAAGUGGACCGAAUUUUAAAUCCGAAAGCUGUGAUUGUUGGCUGACUUUUUUUGAUCAUUGUCAAAUUGCUCAAGAUGAAGUUUGAAACAAAUGAGUUUGAAAAUCCUUUAUAUCUACAUGUUUUACUGCGGAGUUUAUAAAAAAUACAUUUCAUAAACUGCUAUUGUAAGUUCUUGUCUCAAGGUUAAUAAUUAAUUGGUAUUUUCUUAUACGGGUGAAUCGAUUUAGGCACUAUGAAAUGAGAAUUUUCACUAUAUUAAUCGGAAUAACAUCACCAAGUUGAAAC